GUGUCCGAAGUGUCGUUUGGUAAGCACGCCUGCCUGUGAAGCAGGAAGAAGGAGUUCGAAUCUCCUCGGCCACC
rnacentral:tRNA from 1 species